rnacentral:rRNA from 1 species
CCCUUAGAUGUUCUGGGCCGCACGCGCGCUACACUGAUGCAUUCAACGAGUUUCUUCCUGGUCCGAGAGGAAUGGGUAACCUUUUGAAAGUGCAUCGUGAUAGGGAUAGACUAUUGCAAUUAUUGGUCUUCAACGAGGAAUUCCUAGUAGACGUAGUUCAUCAGACUGCAUCGAUUACGUCCCUGCCCUUUGUACACACCGCCCGUCGCUCCUACCGAUUGAAUGCUCAGGUGAGCCAUUCGGACUUUCAUCAUGCUGGUUUCCAGUUUUGAUGAAGGAAAGUCUUGCGAACCUUAUCAUUUAGAGGAAGGAGAAGUCGUANCA